UGUUUUAUGCUAAAGGAAUAUAUUAUAAAAUUAUAAUGGGAUGUUUAAUAUGUUUAUGAAAAUUAUGUUUUGAAAAUGCAACCAUCUAAGUAGUACUCUCUUUGUACCAAAUCUUGUAAAACUUUCUCCAGCUGAAUUUAGCAAUGGAUUAUGAUCCAUCAGAUGAGAAAAAGGCUAUUGAUGAUACAAAAGCUGGUGUUAAGGGACUAGUUGAUUCUGGAAUAGUCGAGAUUCCAAGAAUUUUCAUUAGGCCAUCUGAUGAACUUGCUGAGGAGUUGAAUAUGUGCAAGUCAACUCUACAGGUUCCGGUGGUGGAUCUAAGUGGCAUAGAAGUUGAAGAUCGGCGUAAGAUCAUUGUUGAUGAAAUAAGGGAAGUAUCUGAGAAAUUGGGCCUUUUCCAAGUGAUAAAUCAUGGGGUUCCUUCAAGUGUUUUGGAAGGAAUGAUUGAUGGGACUCGUAAAUUUCAUGAACAAGAUGUCGAAGUGAAGAAAGAGUACUAUUCGUCUGAUCCAACAACCAGACGAGUUAGAUAUGAUGGCAAUGUUCAUAUGUACAAAACAAAAGGAAAGACUGCACACUGGAAGGAUACAUUGUAUGUUGCUGGGCUAGUUUCUGGUCACAUUGAACCUGAAGAAUUACCAGAAGUUUGCAGGUAAACUAUGUAUCUUCAUUUCUAGGGGAAAUUCUUUUUGGCAUACUAUCAGAAGGUCUUGGGCUAAAACCUGACCAGUUGAAAGCUACAGAAUGUGCCAAAGAACAAGGGAUGGCAUGCCAUUACUACCCGACAUGCCCACAGCCAGAGCUAACUCUUGGUACUGGUAAGCAUACAGAUCCUGUUUUCCUUACGUUUAUCCUUCAAAAUCAGAUUGGUGGGCUCCAAGUCAUGUGUGAUAACCAAUGGGCGGAUGUUGAACCGAUUGAACAUGGUUUGGUUGUUAUUAUUGGUGAUCUCCUUCAGAUCCUAUCAAAUGACAAGUUUGUAAGUGCAACUCAUAGAGUUGUAGCAAAUAAGGUAGCAGAACCAAGGAUUUCAGUGAUAUUCUUCUUCAGUGGAGUUUCUACACCUCCAAAGAUGUUUGGUCCAAUCAAAGAGCUCAUAUCAGAAGAAAACCCCCCACUAUAUAAACAAGUUCUAGUAGUUGAUUAUGUCUCAAAUUUUUUGUCCAAGCCACUUGAUAAGACUAGUCUUGAUCUUGUCAGACUCUGAAGAAUCGCUACGCGAAAAUGACCAUAAACCAUCACAAAAGCCUAUCAUCAUUCAUACAGAACUAUGUCAUAGUUUGUGAUUUGCUGUAAAAUAAUGUUCAUUUUCAUGUUGAAGGAACUAUUGAAAGUAAUAGUGCUUUGAACUUUUAUGUGAAACUUUAUCACAA